GACCGCUAGCGCACUCUGUGGAGGGCCAGACCGAAAUCAGCGGCGAGAUCACCAUUCGCGACAUAAACGUGGAUAUUAAACUCGAGACCUCAACAAUGAGUUCAACCACGAUCACCAUCCACCGCCAAGACGCCAACGAUACUGCAAGAGAACAGAUGUAUGACGAUUACAUACAGGAGAUCGCGGACGUAGAAAACAGGUUGAUUGAUUUAGAUUCGCAGUUGACGACUCUGAACAACACUCUUGAUGAUGCAGUAAGUAUUCACGGCAGCGAGCGG